UUAGCUUAAUUACAUAUUUAAUCGAUGACAUUAACCAAACUAAAUAAUAGCUUUAAGUGUCAACAACAGUUCAAGUUAAUGCUAUAGAUUCUAUUCAAAAUAUGUACAAUAUGUUCAUGUUCAUGUCUCCCAAUUCAUGAUAGCAAAAUGUAUAUAUGUAAUGGAGGCUUCUUAUUGUUUGUGAAUAUGUUUCAGCAGACUCAACACUUAUAACAACACCUACAAGUACAACUACACCUGCUAAAAGAACAACUGCUACAAUUACACCUGCUAAAACAACUGCUACAAAAACAGCAAGAUCGAUAACUGAUUCCAGUUCAGGCACCGGCACAAUAAAUACAGAUAUUUCCUGUGACAUAUUUGCAAUAGUUUUCGCCGUUGUAUUGUCGAAGUAGAUAUGUUAGAAAUAGGUUUCAAACAUUUUGUACAAAAGGUUUAUAAAAAAGCAAGUAAAUGUC